rnacentral:rRNA from 1 species
AUUGAACGCUGGCGGCGUGCUUAACACAUGCAAGUCGAUCGGUAACGCGGGGGCAACCCUGGCGACGAGAGGCGGACGGGUGAGGAACGCUUGGGAAUCUGCCUAUCAGCGGGGGACAACCCGGGGAAACUCGGGCUAAUACCGCAUACGCUCUACGGAGGAAAGCCGGGGACCGCAAGGCCUGGCACUGAUAGAUGAGCCCAAGUCGGAUUAGCUAGUUGGCGGGGUAACGGCCCACCAAGGCGACGAUCCGUAGCUGGUCUGAGAGGACGAUCAGCCACACUGGGACUGAGACACGACCCAGACUCCUACGGGAGGCAGCAGUGGGGAAUAUUGGACAAUGGGGGAAACCCUGAUCCAGCGACGCCGCGUGGGUGAAGAAGGCCUGCGGGUUGUAAAGCCCUUUCGGUAGGGACGAAAGCUCUCGACCUAACACGUCGGGAGGUUGACUUAACCUACAAAAGAAGCACCGGCUAACUCUGUGCCAGCAGCCGCGGUAAAAC